UACGUAGGGGGCAAGCGUUGUCCGGAUUCAUUGGGCGUAAAGAGCGUGUAGGCGGCCAGGUAGGUCGGUUGUGAAAACUGGAGGCUCAACCUUCAGAGGUCGACCGAAACCAUCUGGCUAGAGUCCGGGAGAGGAGAGUGGAAUUCCCCAGUGUAGAGGUGAAAUUCGUAGAUAUUGGGAAGAACACCAGUGGCGAAGGCGGCUCACUGGCUCAUUUCUGACGCUCAGGCGCGACAGCGUGGGGGAUCAAACAGG
rnacentral:rRNA from 1 species